CCUACGGGUGGCAGCAGUGGGGAAUAUUGCGCAAUGGGCGAAAGCCUGACGCAGCGACGCCGCGUGAGGGAUGAAGGUCUUCGGAUCGUAAACCUCUGUCAGCAGGGAAGAACGGUCACUGUGCUAAUCAGCAGUGAAUUGACGGUACCUGCAAAGGAAGCACCGGCUAACUCCGUGCCAGCAGCCGCGGUAAUACGGAGGGUGCGUGCGUUAAUCGGAAUUACUGGGCGUAAAGCGCUCGUAGGCGGUAUGUCAAGUCAAGGGUGAAAUCCCCGAGCUCAACGUGGGAACUGCCUGUGAAACUGGCAAACUGGAGUGUGAGAGAGGAUAGUGGAAUUCCAGGUGUAGGAGUGAGAUCCGUAGAUAUCUGGAGGAACAUCAGUGGCGAAGGCGACUAUCUGGAACAUAACUGACGCUGAGGAGCGAAAGCGUGGGUAGCAAACAGGAUUAGAUACCCCUGUAGUC
rnacentral:rRNA from 1 species